GAUGAACGCUGGCGGCGUGCCUAAUACAUGCAAGUCGAGCGAACGGACGAGAAGCUUGCUUCUCUGAUGUUAGCGGCGGACGGGUGAGUAACACGUGGAUAACCUACCUAUAAGACUGGGAUAACUUCGGGAAACCGGAGCUAAUACCGGAUAAUAUUUUGAACCGCAUGGUUCAAAAGUGAAAGACGGUCUUGCUGUCACUUAUAGAUGGAUCCGCGCUGCAUUAGCUAGUUGGUAAGGUAACGGCUUACCAAGGCAACGAUGCAUAGCCGACCUGAGAGGGUGAUCAGCCACACUGGAACUGAGACACGGUCCAGACUCCUACGGGAGGCAGCAGUAGGGAAUCUUCCGCAAUGGGCGAAAGCCUGACGGAGCAACGCCGCGUGAGUGAUGAAGGUCUUCGGAUCGUAAAACUCUGUUAUUAGGGAAGAACAUAUGUGUAAGUAACUGUGCACAUCUUGACGGUCCCUAAUCAGAAAGCCACGGCUAACUACGUG
rnacentral:rRNA from 1 species